UAUCAUAGAUCCUUGAAAAUGAGCCAUUUC
rnacentral:piRNA from 1 species